CUCUACCUCAGUUGGUAGAGCAUGGUGUUUGCAACGCCAGGGUUGUGGGUUCGAUUCCCACGGG
rnacentral:tRNA from 1 species